GCGGUCUCGGCGGAAUUGGUAGACGCGCCGUCUUCAAGCGGCGGCGGGGCGGCCAGUGGAGGCUCAAACCCUCUCGACCGCACCA
rnacentral:tRNA from 1 species